rnacentral:rRNA from 1 species
UGGGGAAUAUUGCACAAUGGGCGCAAGCCUGAUGCAGCCAUGCCGCGUGUAUGAAGAAGGCCUUCGGGUUGUAAAGUACUUUCAGUCGGGAGGAAGGUGGUAAGGUUAAUAACCUUAUCAAUUGACGUUACCGACAGAAGAAGCACCGGCUAACUCCGUGCCAGCAGCCGCGGUAAUACGGAGGGUGCAAGCGUUAAUCGGAAUUACUGGGCGUAAAGCGCACGCAGGCGGUUGAUUGAGUCAGAUGUGAAAUCCCCGGGCUUAACCCGGGAAUUGCAUCUGAUACUGGUCAGCUAGAGUGUUGUAGAGGGGGGUAGAAUUCCAUGUGUAGCGGUGAGAUGCGUAGAGAUGUGGAGGAAUACCGGUGGCGAAGGCGGCCCCCUGGACAAAGACUGACGCUCAGGUGCGAAAGCGUGGGGAGCAAACAGG